UUCCGUCUUGAAAAUGUUGCUGCUGCAAUGUUAAUCCUGCAAAGUGAAGUGCUCAGAAGUUAAGGAAUGUUCACGUUUGGCCAUUGGAAGUGAGAAGCAGAAGUCCAGAAGGAGAAGCAAAGAGGCUGUCAUGCUCAAAUAUCUUUUGUUUGGAGCAACUAUACAGAAGAUGUUCUUCAGGAGCCUACCUUACGGAUGUUGUUUCAAUGGGUAAAAA